rnacentral:rRNA from 1 species
CUACCCUUGGAUUUGGGAUAACAUUGCGAAAGCGAUGCUAAUACCGGAUGAAGUCUAUUAUUUUUAGGAGUGAUAGAUGAAAGAUGGCCUCUACAUGUAAGCUAUUGUUUGAGGAUGAGCCCGCGUACCAUUAGCUAGUUGGUAGGGUAACAGCCUACCAAGGCAACGAUGGUUAGCUGGUCUGAGAGGAUGAUCAGCCACACCGGAACUGACACACGGUCCGG